rnacentral:rRNA from 1 species
UACGGAGGGGGCUAGCGUUGUUCGGAAUUACUGGGCGUAAAGCGCACGUAGGCGGCUUUGUAAGUUAGAGGUGAAAGCCCAGGGCUUAACCCUGGAAUUGCCUUUAAGACUGCAUCGCUAGAAUCGUGGAGAGGUGAGUGGAAUUCCGAGUGUAGAGGUGAAAUUCGUAGAUAUUGGGAAGAACACCGGUGGCGAAGGCGGCGACCUGGUCCUUGACUGACGCUGAGGCGCGAAAGCGUGGGGAGCAAACAGG